UACGUAGGGCGCAAGCGUUGUCCGGAAUUAUUGGGCGUAAAGAGCUCGUAGGCGGUUUGUCGCGUCUGCUGUGAAAACCUAAGGCUCAACCUUGGGCUUGCAGUGGGUACGGGCAGACUAGAGUGCGGUAGGGGUGACUGGAAUUCCUGGUGUAGCGGUGGAAUGCGCAGAUGUCAGGAGGAACACCGAUGGCGAAGGCAGGUCACUGGGCCGCAACUGACGCUGAGGAGCGAAAGCAUGGGGAGCGAACAGG
rnacentral:rRNA from 1 species